rnacentral:rRNA from 1 species
AGCGGCGAGUGAGCGGCAGAGCUCAGAUUUGAAAUCGUGCUUUGCGGCACGAGUUGUAGAUUGCAGGUUGGAGUCUGUGUGGAAGGCGGUGUCCAAGUCCCUUGGAACAGGGCGCCCAGGAGGGUGAGAGCCCCGUGGGAUGCCGGCGGAAGCAGUGAGGCCCUUCUGACGAGUCGAGUUGUUUGGGAAUGCAGCUCCAAGCGGGUGGUAAAUUCCAUCUAAGGCUAAAUACUGGCGAGAGACCGAUAGCGAACAAGUACUGUGAAGGAAAGAUGAAAAGCACUUUGAAAAGAGAGUGAAACAGCACGUGAAAUUGUUGAAAGGGAAGGGUAUUGCGCCCGACAUGGGGAUUGCGCACCGCUGCCUCUCGUGGGCGGCGCUCUGGGCUUUCCCUGGGCCAGCAUCGGUUCUUGCUGCAGGAGAAGGGGUUCUGGAACGUGGCUCUUCGGAGUGUUAUAGCCAGGGCCAGAUGCUGCGUGCGGGGACCGAGGACUGCGGCCGUGUAGGUCACGGAUGCUGGCAGAACGGCGCAACACCGCCCGUCUUGAAACACGGACCAAAA